GCGCUCGCUUCGGCAGCACAUAUACUAAAACUUGGAACGAUACAGAGAUUAGCAUGGCCCCUGCGCAAGGAUGACACGCAAAUUCGUGAAUUGUUCCAUAUUUUU
rfam:Pongo abelii chromosome 10.